rnacentral:rRNA from 1 species
UGAUUAAGCCAUGCAAGUCGAGAGACAUCUGGUCUCGGCGAACCGCUCAGUAACACGUGGAUAACAUGCCCUAAGGUGGGGGAUAAUCUCGGGAAACUGAGGAUAAUACCCCAUAGGUCUUCUCUGCUGGAAUGCUUGAAGGCCGAAAACUCCGGUGCCUUAGGAUUGGUCUGCGGCCUAUCAGGUUGUAGUGGGUGUAAUGGACCCACUAGCCCGUGACGGGUAUGGGCCUUGAGAGAGGGAGCCCAGAGAUGGACUCUGAGACAUGAGUCCAGGCCCUACGGGGCGCAGCAGUCGCGAAAACUUCGCAAUGGGGGCAACCCCGACGAGGGAAUUCCAAGUGCCAGCACUUUGUGUUGGCUGUUCUCCUGUCUAAAAAACAGGAGGAGUAAGGGGCGGGUAAGACGGGUGCCAGCCGCCGCGGUAAUACCCGCGCCCCUAGUGGUGGUCGAUAUUAUUGAGCCUAAAACGUCCGUAGCCGGUCUUUUAAAUCUUUGGGCAAAUCGGGCAGCUUAACUGUCCGACUUCCGAGGAGACUGGAAGACUUGGGACCGGGAGAGGUCAGAGGUACUUCUGGGGUAGGGGUAAAAUCCUGUAAUCCUGGAAGGACCACCGGUGGCGAAGGCGUCUGACUAGAACGGAUCCGACGGUGAGGGACGAAGCCCUGGGGCGCAAACGGGAUUAGAUACCCCGGUAGUCCAGGGUGUAAACGCUGCGGGCUUGGUGUUGGGGGUCCUUCGUGGGCGCCCAGUGCCGGAGAGAAGUUGUUAAGCCUGCUGCUUGGGGAGUAUGUCCGCAAGGAUGAAACUUAAAGGAAUUGGCGGGGGAGCA